rnacentral:rRNA from 1 species
AUUGAACGCUGGCGGCAGGCCUAACACAUGCAAGUCGAACGGUAACAGGAAGAAGCUUGCUUCUUUGCUGACGAGUGGCGGACGGGUGAGUAAUGUCUGUGAAACUGCCUGAUGGAGGGGGAUAACUACUGGAAACGGUAGCUAAAACCGCAUAACGUCGCAAGACCAAAAAGGGGGACCUUCGGGCCUCUUGCCAUCGGAUGUGCCCAGAUGGGGUUAGCUAGUAGGUGGGGUAACGGGUCACCGAGGACACGAUCCCUAGCUGGUCUGAGAGGUGGACCAGCCCAACGGAACCUGAGACACGGUCCAGACUCCUACGGGAGGCAGAAGUGGGGAAUAUUGCACAAGGGGCGAAAGCCUGAUGCAGCAAUGCCGCGGGUAUGAAGAAGGCCUUCGGGUUGUAAAGUACUUUAAGCGGGGAGGAAGGGAGUAAAGUUAACACCUUUGCUCAUGGACGUUACCCGCAGAAGAAGCACCGGCUAACUCCGU